AUUCUGUCGCCCAGGCUGGAGUGCAAUGGCGUGAUCUCGGCUCGCUGCAACCUCCGCCUCCUGAGUUCAAGUGAUUCUCCUCCCUCAGCCUCCUGAGUAGCUGGGAUUACAGGCGCCCGCCAUCACACCUGGCUAAUUUUUGUAUUUUUAGUAGAGACAGGGUUUCAGUAGAGACACGGUUUCACCAUGUUGGCAAGGCUGGUCUGGAACUCCUGACCUCAAGUGAUCCACCUGCCUCGGCUUCCCAAAGUGCUGGUAUUACAGGCAUGAGCCACCGCGCCCAGCUGGUUCCUUCUAUUUCUUUUGCUUUGCCUUCCGACGUGGCCCUGAUGGCCUGACAGUCACUGUCCCCUGCACUGUGGCGUCCAUCCUCCUCCUCCUCGUACCUGCCUUGCAAGGCAGGCUUCAUGUUCACUCCUGCAGUGAACAUGAGGCAGGAAGAGACCGCAUAAGUUAGAGGUGACUGUGGCUCAGAAAGGCUGCGUGACUUGCCCAAGGUCACAUAGCAGUGAGAGAUGGAGUGUGGGCCCAGAGCCAGCACGCUGUCUUUUGGCAUUGCCUCCCUGGAAAGGCGGGGCCCGCACUGUCCUCUCUGCCCUGCACUGUUUUAGUUCACACAGCUCACUCUUGGCCCGUGCCGGGUAUUUGUCUUGCUUUCUAAGAGUGUUUAUUUAUUGAUUCUUUGGAUUUCUACUUAGUUCCUCCCCUGUGCCAGGCCCAGGAGACAAAGGCGGAGGCUGCACUCAAGGAGUUCAUGGUCUGGGAGACAAGACUCUUCCUGCGUGUCAGCUGAGUCUUCCCAGGCAGCCCGCAGGACUCCCAAGGGGCAGAGGCUGUUUCCUGCUUCUCCUGCAGCCCACCCGGGGCUGGUGACCUCCUGGUCCCUUCUCAGGGAGCUGCUGCUGCUGCCGCCUCCAUCGUCGGGUGGGGGCUGGGCAGGCCUGACCCAGCAGACUAUGGGGUGAAGGAUAGAGGGCUGAGGAAGGGGUCUGGGAGCUGAGAGCUCAGGGAAGGUGUUGGGGGUUUAAAGCUGAUGAAAGCAGUCUUCCUUUCUCAAACACCCAAGGGCUGAUCCACCGCAUGUAACUUGAGCAGCAGGGCCGGGCCCUCAGCUUUGCCUGUGCGCAGCCUCCGGUGUUCAGGUGUAGAAGGUCAAGGUUCAGGCCAGGCACCGUGCCCGGCCUUGCCUCCUGACCUUUUAACAAGGCUGACCUCCCCCAACCCCCACAAAACCCCAGUUCCAGUUUCCAGCCCUGCGUUCCUGAUGAACCAGGUGAGGAACCCACAGCAAUCUUAAUCCCCAAUUUAGAGAGAA
rnacentral:lncRNA from 10 species